CAAAAAAUGGCAGGGCAAAUCUCCUUUGGCAAACCAGAAGCAUGCAUGUUCAAGCCCUCUACUUCUCUCUGCCAAUAGGAGAUUUGCCCUAUCAUUCCUCA
rnacentral:miRNA from 1 species